UACGUAGGGGGCAAGCGUUGUCCGGAGUUACUGGGCGUAAAGCGCACGCAGGCGGUCUCUUAAGUUUGGAGUGACAGUUGGUGGCUUAACUGCCAAAGUGCUUCGAAAACUGAGAGACUUGAGGGCUUCAGAGGGACACGGAAUCCGGGUGGAGUGGUGAAAUGCGUAGAGAUCCGGAGGAACACCAAAGGCGAAGGCAGUGUCCUGGGGAGUACCUGACGCUCAGGUGCGAAAGCCAGGGGAGCGAACGGG
rnacentral:rRNA from 1 species